rnacentral:rRNA from 1 species
CUGAACCAGCCAAGUAGCGUGCAGGAUGACGGCCCUACGGGUUGUAAACUUCUUUUGUGCGGGAAUAAAGGAACCUACGUGUAGGUUUUUGCAUGUACCGUAACGAAUAAGCAUCGGCUAACUCCGUGCCAGCAGCCGCGGUAAUACGGAGGAUGCGAGCGUUAUCCGGAUUUAUUGGGUUUAAAGGGAGCGUAGAUGGAUGUUUAAGUCAGUUGUGAAAGUUUGCGG